rnacentral:lncRNA from 1 species
UUCCAGUAUUUGUGAUUCAUUUGACAUCUCGAAUUACUCCCACUCCUAGUAGUAAUUGGGUGAUCAGUGAAUGAAUGAUAGCACAAUUGUUUAUGUGGAGAAAGAUAUAUUUUUCAGGUUCAAUAAUGAAGUUAUUAUACAAUGAUAUCAAAGUAUGAAAACUGGCAAAAAACAAGUGUAAUAUAUAAAUUAUGUCGUUUUUAGUAUUGAUGUACUAUUGUUUUAUUUUUUUAUCGUCAUUAAAUCCCCGACCAAAACCUCGACAUUCGUCGUCAAAAUUUUUUUGCCCGCACUGAACUAAAAUCCUGGCUCCGCCCCUGAUCACCACUCAUUCCACCUGAAAUAGCAUCUCACGUUCUUGAAGGCGUUGAUUUGUGUGAUGUGAUUUUGAGGAACCUAUUUUUAUAUAACACCUUUAUUCUCCAAGUUUAUUUAUUUUGGAACAAUUAGAGAUAGAGUUAAUUAAAUUUUUGAUCACCAACAUUACUUGCUCAUUAAAAAAUAAAAAGUAACUCAAUGCUCACUCACAAAACAUUACCCAUCCAUCACCCAUUUCACUUCCAUCCGUCCACAUGGGCAAAAAAAUACACGUGGCAAACAAAAAUCAUACGUGGCAUGUAACAGUGUUAAAACUUGCCAAUCUGGACAAAAACACAUUCCACUUAGUAACGUUUUUCUUCAAAUUGGAAGAAAGGCUUUUCCCAUCUCAAAUAAAAAUUUUAAUUUUCCCAAUCUUUGUAGCAAAACCUAAAUUGAUUUUCAUCCCCACAGUCCCAAAUGAUUCCAAGCUUCUUCUCAAUUGAACCCCAAAUUAACGUAUUUUGUUGGAUCAAAUGCAAGCCCUACCCCAUCAGAAUUAAGGCGGCUGACCAUGAUUGUUGGUCUUGUAGCAAAUGCAAAGCUACAGUCGGUUACUUAUGAAGUGAAGGUCGAUAGUGUUUUCAUUGACAAGUAGAAGAAGUUUUGCAAGGAAGCACAAGGUUGAAGAUACAUUCUCCUUUGGUUCUCCAUAUCUUUAUCUUAGGUGGCCUUGCAAAAAUUGUGGAACUUGGCGGAUUAUGGAACAAGUCAUGGAAGAAAAGGACCAUCAUCUAAAUGAGAUUGCAGAGUCUGGAUCAGAUCACGAACUCAAAAGCAGUUCAAGAUUAGGCCAUGACAAUUCAUGUUUAGGCUUCAAAAGAGGCAGCCAUAAUCAUUUGAGAAAGUGAAAGCUAAUUUCUAGGUUGAAAAGAUGGGUAGAAGGGAGUGAAAAAAAUGAAGUUGGAUGGAAAAAAGCAGCAGUGUCUAUCUUUGUGGUGAAUAAAUCAAUUUGAUUUGUAGUGAAUUAUGCAAUAGAAACACUUUUACAUUUUUAUGGUGAAUAUGCAAUAGAAACACUUGUACAUCUUUAUGGUUAAUAAAUCAUUUUGAUCUUCAAU